UCUUACGACAGUCAGUGAUAAUAAUAAUGGUAAUAAUGGUUGAUUCUAGUUGAAAAUUCUCUUGAAUCGUGUUGAUAUUACACUUGACACUCGGAAGGACUUCUUGUUACUCGGAAUCGUUGUGUUGUAAAAGGUAUAAUCCAUUCAAGCUGAAGGUAGGUAUGCCUACAAGCCAUGGAGCGCAUUUAUUAGGUGUUAAAUUAACUGAUCGAGUUCGAAACACUAUGCUGCGAUCCAUCACAAAACUGACAGAUGUAGGAGAAACGGCGGCUAGGCGGGUCACGUUUGCCGUAUGCAGCCUGAGAGAUGCCCACAUUCUUACAACCUGGAUUCCAACUGACGGGUACAGAAAGCGAGGUCAAAGCGGAACGCUGUGUGGAGGAUAGAUAGUAAUAUAUUAUUUUUUGCCAUGGGUAAUGGUGUGGUAAAAGUUAUAUCAAAUGAAAUGUAUACUAAUUGAUUUCAAAACAGUUGAAAUGGGAAAUUAAUAUAAAAAAUAUAUAAAAAUUUUAUAAUAAAAUAAAUAUUGUUUUGAAAUCGAUACUUAAGCCGAACCGCCAAGGCUUCCUUAUGAAUACAAUUCAAUUUCCACGACCUUUGACCCCAUCCUUUGACCUUCGUUUGAUGUAUCAUGUAGCUCCAUAAAACGAAUGAACUUACGUCAAAAUGAGGUUACCAGAUGACGACGGGGUUUUAUUAAAAAAGGAGAAUGUGAUUGAUGCUGCGUGCAUAUUUAAUUUUAAUAUUUCCACUUUGAUCGUAGAUAAUGUAUUUUGUAAACAUUUUUGUUGAUCUUCCUGUAAAGAUUAUUGAAUAACUGUACAUUAUUGUAUAAGCUGAAAAUGUAAACGAAGUAUAUUAAAUAUUACAUUAGCUGCAAUCUGCCCGCGCAAUUAUUUAAAAAACGCGCUAUACGCACGUAGCGCCAUCUAUUUUAAUAUUAUCUUAAUUAUAAAAGCGACAGUUUGCGAGUAUGUUUGUGACUUCUUCAUGCUCAAACCGGCUAAGCCAAAACAAUGAAAUUUAAUAAUGAGGUAGCUGAUAUCACCCUUAUUUAAUAAUUAAUAAUUUUUAUCCCAAAAGUAUGCGAUUCCCGUAGGAUUUGGUCAAAAAGUCUGAUAGACAAUGGCGCUUUAUGAGUAGAUGGCGUUACAGUGCAAAAAAAAGUGUUCUUUUUUCAAAAUAUUUACGCGCGAAACACCGCGUUGUGUUGCCAGCUUAUUAUAUACAUUUCGCUCAUCUAAUAGUACAGGGUGAUACAGGGUAACAAGUUAAUCUAAGGUAUGGCAACAGAACCCUAAUCUGAUCCUACGUCAGGAUUUAUUCAAAUCAAACUGAUGUUAUGUGUUAUGACACCGGCUCGGGUGACCUUCCGUGCCUUGAAUAUUAAAAUGACCAUUUGUAUUAGUGUGAGGAUUGUCGAUUUCGAAAGAAGUGAUACUGAGUUUCAGGAGUGAAUUGACAUAUCACCUACUAGCUGCGCCCCAGGGCGUCGCUCCAUUGGGAAUUUCGGGAUAAAAAGAACCCUAUCGGUUAUUCUAGGUUAAAUACUACCCGUGUACCAAAUUUUAUUACUAUCUGUCCAGUAGAUUUUGCGUGAAAGAGUAACAAACAUAAUAGCUGCGCCCCGGGGCUUCGGUCCCGUGGGAAUUUCGACAUAAAAAGUAUUCUAGGUUCUAUACUACCCGUGG